UAUUAUUAUCAGAUUAGACAAGAUUACUUUGUAUGUUGCUGCAUUUCAGGAUAUCUAUAAAGACGCAUAUCUUAUUUAUGCGGCAUAAAUAAGAUAUAGAUUUCCUACUUGCGCAUUUAUAUCAAAUUAUGUACAGCAUGUUUAUAUUGCCAUUUGCCAUUAUGAAAAUCUAUACAUGUAAAAUAUAGUUAGUAAUUUUUAAAUGUACCAGUGACUUACUUAAUUUAUUAGUCUUAUAAUGCAAUUUUUCGUAGGCCUGCUGUAGAUUCAAAAUUGUAUUUCUGUAAAAUCCCUGAAUAUUUUCUCUUGUAUGCAGGGUCAAUGCUUAAAUAUGUUCAAGGAGGAUCUCAAGGACAGGAUGAACCAUCCAGUAGUAGUGCCAUCCCUGGACAUCAACCACCAGCCAUUGUAGACCCUGCAACAAUCCCUAGCCAAGAAGAACAAGAACCAUCAACCACCAGUUCAGGUACAGUUCCAUACACAAGUACCACUGAGAGUCCUGUCACUGAGAGACUAUCAGAAAGUGACACUGUGGAGACAUGUGUGCCCCCUUCAACCGAUCCUGCUCUUUGGCCAGCUCACAUUGUAGAUGCUGAUCGUGUUGAAAUUGUGCGGAGAGGUCCUUUUAAUGUCAGCUCUGAUUUUAA